AGUUCAGUCGGUUAGAAUACCGGCCUGUCACGCCGGGGGUCGCGGGUUCGAGUCCCGUC
rnacentral:tRNA from 1 species